GGGGAUGGGUAACCGAUGUCGGAUUAUUGGGCGUAAGCGCGCGCAGGCGGUUUCUUAAGUCUGAUGUGAAAGCCCCCGGCUCAACCGGGGAGGGUCAUUGGAAACUGGGGAACUUGAGUGCAGAAGAGGAGAGUGGAAUUCCACGUGUAGCGGUGAAAUGCGUAGAGAUGUGGAGGAACACCAGUGGCGAAGGCGACUCUCUGGUCUGUAACUGACGCUGAGGCGCGAAAGCGUGGGGAGCGAACAGGAUUAGAUACCCUGGUAGUCCACGCCGUAAACGAUGAGUGCUAAGUGUUAGAGGGUUUCCGCCCUUUAGUGCUGCAGCAAACGCAUUAAGCACUCCGCCUGGGGAGUACGGUCGCAAGACUGAAACUCAAAGGAAUUGACGGGGGCCCGCACAAGCGGUGGAGCAUGUGGUUUAAUUCGAAACAACGCGAUGAACCUUACCAGGUCUUGACUCCCUCUUACAACCCUAAAGAUU
rnacentral:rRNA from 1 species